rnacentral:rRNA from 1 species
AUUGAACGCUGGCGGCAUGCUUUACACAUGCAAGUCGAACGGUAACAGGUUAAGCUGACGAGUGGCGAACGGGUGAGUAAUGCAUCGGAACGUGCCCGGUCGUGGGGGAUAACACUUCGAAAGAAGUGCUAAUACCGCAUACGAUCUGAGGAUGAAAGCGGGGGACCGUAAGGCCUCGCGCGAUCGGAGCGGCCGAUGUCAGAUUAGGUAGUUGGUGGGGUAAAGGCCCACCAAGCCGACGAUCUGUAGCUGGUCUGAGAGGACGACCAGCCACACUGGGACUGAGACACGGCCCAGACUCCUACGGGAGGCAGCAGUGGGGAAUUUUGGACAAUGGGCGCAAGCCUGAUCCAGCAAUGCCGCGUGCAGGAAGAAGGCCUUCGGGUUGUAAACUGCUUUUGUACGGAGCGAAAAGGCUCCCUCUAAUACAGGGGGCUGAUGACGGUACCGUAAGAAUAAGCACCGGCUAACUACGUGCCAGCAGCCGCCGUAA